rnacentral:lncRNA from 1 species
GUUUAAUACUGUCUCCCAGUGGACCGCCAGAUCCUGACCAGAUAAUUGGCUUGAAAGACACGAAAGAAGUCAAAGUCAGGGCCACUCAUUUGUUCAUUCCUUCAUUCGUUUAUUCAGCCAGUAUUUAUUAGGGCACCAUGUUGAGUGCUGGAGAUUCACGGGUGAACAGGACAGACAAGGCUUUUGCUGUGCUGGAGCCUCAGAACCAGGAGGGUAGACAGGCUGUAAAGAAGUAAUCACAUAUGUGACUGAUGUUUUAGAUAGUGCUAAGUGUCACGUAGACAGUGAAGAGGGUUGAGGUGUCAUAGAGUAAAACUGUGUGGCCACUUCUAACAGAGGGGCAGGGAAGUCCUCUUUGGGGAUAUGACAGGCAAGUUGUGAGACUUGAUGAAGACAGUCAUCUGACAUAGGUGGGGAGUCCCAGACCAAGUCCCCGGGGCAGACGAUGACUUGCUCCAGUGUGGUUGGAGCUCUGUGAACACAGGAGGGAGCGUCAUUUUCACAGAGGAAGGCCG